rfam:Picea glauca, whole genome shotgun sequence.
GUUUAAAUGAGGAAGGGCUUAGGGUGGAUACCUAGGCACCCAGAGACGAGCAAGGGUGUGGUAAGCGAUGAAAUGCUUCGGGGAGUUGAAAAUGAGCAUAGAUCCAGAGAUUCCCGAAUAGGUUAACCUUUUUAACUGUUGUUGAAUCCAUGGGUAGGUAAAAGACAACUUGGUGAACUGAAACAUCUUAGUAGCCAGAGGAAUAGAAAGAAAAAGUGAUUCCCAUAGUAGCGGCGAGCGAAAUGGGAGCAGCCUAAACCAUGAAAACGGGGUUGCGGGAGAGCACAAUAUAAGCUCUGUGCUGCUAGGUGAAGCGGUUGAGUCUUGCACCCUAGAUGGUGAGAGUCCAGUAGCCAAAAUCAUCAUUGGGUUACGCUCUAACCUGAGUAUCAUGGGGCACAUGGAAUCCCGUGUGAAUCAACAAGGACCAUGUUGCAAGGCUAAAUACUCCUGGGUGACCGAUAGUGAAGUAGUACCAUGAGCGAAAGGUGAAAAGAACCCCCAUCAGGGAGUGAAAUAGAACAUGAAACCGUAAGCUCCCAAGCAGUGGGAGGAAAAUGAUAUCUCUGACCGCGUGCCUGUUGAAGAAUG